GGUUAUGGUGCCAAAUUGUGUGCUACCCUAGAUCCCACAAAGGGUGUUGGUCAAUUAAGAUAGCAGCAUGGUGGUCUUGGAAGUUGAAAUCCACUAAGGAGUGUGUUACAACUCACCUGCCGAAUCAACUAGCCCCAAAAAUGGAUGGCGCUAAUGACGUUCAAAUAACACC
rnacentral:ncRNA from 1 species